UUAAGAGUAGAGUUAAGAGUAGAGUUAAGAGUAGAGUUAAGAGUAGAGUUAAGAGUAGAGUUAAGAGUAGAGUUAAGAGUAGAGUUAAGAGUAGAGUUAAGAGUAGAGUUAAGAGUAAAACAUAUACUUAAUAUUAAACUGUGUCUUUGUCGUCUCUUCAGUGUUGUGUCUGUCUUGGUUUGAAAAUCCUUGCAUCGUUAAUGUGUUUUGCACUCUCCUGAACAUCAAUGAGCAAGGACAGAGGAAGGGGAGGAAGUAAGACUAAAAAAAGUGUUGCCUUAUUUUAACACAGUCAUUUCAGCUUUACUACCACCUAUGAGUCAAUGGCUGCCAAUGUUUGUGUUGAAAGUUUCUGUAAGUUUAACUCUGGUAUAUUACUGAAGAACGUGCUGCCUGCUGUCAGUGGGCUAACGUAUAAGCCACUCUUCUGGUAAGUACCAGGUAAAGUUGUCAUUUAAAGUAAUGCUAACGUGCACUGUCAGUUAGCAAUUGUUUUGCUAUAUCACAUUACAUCCUUUAUAGUUGUAGUACGGUACAUUCUGAAUACAUCCUAACUAGCCAGCUAGCUCAUGUGAACAUGAAGCAGCACCGCCUUCCAGCUUGGGGAUUCCCACCCCGGUCCGUGGCCAGUGUUCCGCGGAGGGGUUGGUUGCAAAUGAUCCCUUCAGGUUCAUGAGUUGUGUUCAGAUGUGAAAAGAUAAACAUUGAAUUUGAUAGUUAUGUCCUAUUAUACAAGAUAAGACUAAAAUAAUUUGCCGUGCAUAUGGACGCCAUGCAGCCAGAGCAAGAUGAAGAUGGUGUGAGUGUGAAAAAACACAAAUGUGACAAUAUUUGAGGGAUGAGUGGGAAGGAGGGAUAUAUAAGGAGAGGUUCCUCGGAGUGCCGAGAUGUGAUUAGCUGUAAUAAAUCUGGAAUAUGGCUCUAUGAUACAGUUUUUGAUAACACCAGCAUUUGUUUUUGGGCAAAAGCGGCAAGCCGAUCAGAACGGGCCAGAUUUGAUGCUGCAGCUUUUCUUGAAAGACAAAACAAAAUUGAAAAGUGCUGAAGUUUGAAUCACUGUGUGUUUAUUUCAGUUAUUGAUGUUGAUAGGAUUGGUUUCCUCAUACAAAUACAACACACAUGAUGUUUACUUGAAAUGACUGAAAAGUGAUACCAGGACCAGGGGCUCAAUAAGCUGUUCAGUAAUAAGGUGGAUUGUGCUCAGGAUAGAAGCUGCACUUUGUGUUGAAGAAAAGUAUAGAUUUUCAUUUCACAAAAUAUUGUAAUAUUAUAUGACAUUAAUUACAUGACUAAUAAUAUUUUGAGAAGAAAUAUUUUACCAGUAUUAUUUUGCUAUAAUCAUUGCUUCUUACAGUAAAUUAUUCUUGAUGGCCCCCAGUUGGUAAGCCCAUGUAUGUAAAUAUGUGGGUAGGAUGACGGGUUAAAAACCCCCCCGAUUCCCGUGCAGCAUUUGAUCACAGUUGAUCGCAUUCAUGCUGGGAGGAGUCAUCCCGUCUUGGCAGAGUCGCUGCUGAAGCUGUGUGUCAGCUUAUUCUCCAGGUCUCACUAACUUGUGUGGCUCCCCACACUUCUGUCACAGUAGAUAAUCCUGCCUGCUUGCAGCUUAAUCAAUGAAGCGGCUCUUUCCUUGCAUCUAAUUAAUGUAGCAGCUAUUUACUUACAUCUGUCACAGAAGCUGAUGCUCCCUUACAUUAGAUCUAUUACAGUUUUUUAUAAGGUGUUUCCUUUGCUUUUGUCAGCCCUAAUUCCCAAGUUUCUUUUGCAGUUUUUCCUGAUAUCUCUGCCACAGCUUCAGCUGCAUUUUUUGCAGCCUCUCCUACACUGUCUGCUCUGGCUGUAGCUUUGGCUCCUUCAACCUCCCUCCUGUAGCUCCUGCUGCAGCCAAAACCCCCACAGCUACACCCACUAUUCCUACUACUGCUCCUACACCUAAUGCCCCAACUGCCUCAGCUUCUGCAGCUGCUGCCCCUAAUGCCCCAGCUCACUCUCUCUCUUGCUUGUCUCCUGAUCUGACUCCUCUGCUAUAGCGUCUGCUAUUACCUGGAGUGAUUUAUUUGUGUAAUGACAGGGAGUCCUUAUUCCCUGGCCUGCUAUGUAGCUCAAUGGGUUGUUUGAGCAGCUUAAAAGUUGACACCCUUCCAGUCAUGGAACAAGGCUGGACUUUGGACUGUCUCUCCUGUUUGAUUUAAGGUUUUAUUUUAUCCUUUAGUUUUUGGUGAAUCCUGCUUGUGUCUUGUUUUUUCUGUGAUAGCAUAACAUGGCACAGGCAAGGAAAAGAGUAUAAAGUCCAUAAUCCUAGUAUUUCGGUUUUGAUUUAUUUGUCAGGUGAAAGUCUUAUGACCGUAUAUGUGUGUGAGUAAUUUGGUGAUUAUUGGUGGCAGAUUUUUUACUGUGAUCAAGUACCACUACAGACUGUUUUGGAAAGGGGGGGGGGUUAAUUGACAGAGACUGCUGCAUUCACUCACCUGGAGAUAAUGAGACUGAGGUUUUAAUGGGAAGUCUGUCUUUUAUCACGUGUGUAUCUUCCUGGUCAGGAUUGCGAUGUUGAUUGCUGUGUAGACUUUCUUAUUGGUGCCGUGCUGUGAUGAGCUGGAAUGAUUUAUUGCUUUGAGAGCGUAACCUAACUUAUUUCACGUGUGCUGUUUUAUCAGACGCCCUCAGUGUGUGCGGGGGAAUUGUGUGCUGCGAGGCAUCCAACAUGAGCCCAUUGAUUAAUUUACUAAUUGAAUAAUAAAGUAUUGUUAUUGCCUCAGUUUGCCUGAUUUUGAGUGUAGUAAUCUAACCUACUGGACAAGAGCAGGGUAUAAUUAAAGGCGGUUAACCUGUUGUUUACCGAGGUUUAAAUAUCGCCCUCUAGUGGCAAGGAAAAUCUAUUACAGUACAUUAAGUCACGUCAAGCCUUUUCCUUACACAGCCUACAAAAGCCUAAUGAAUCAUACACUACAGUUGUUCCUGAGGAUGUUUUGUAAGGACCAAGUAUAUAAAUUACUGCUGAACUUUUUCACAUACAGAGUAAAGUACUGUCAUAUGGCACAAGAGGCAGGCCAGAUGACCACCUGCUCAUUAUAGAUCUCCAGCUCAGAUACCACCUUCUCAAAAGUCUUCUGCAUAAAAUAGAAAUGGGAUUCAGCGCGACUCCACUAAAUUUGGAUUACCUGGAGUUCCUUUGUCAUCAGGAGCUGUAUCUUCUGCAGGCCCCGUCUAAUCACAUUGAAGUACCUCCUGCUAUCACCCUGGCUUUGCAGGAGCUCUUUGACCUUGCGAGGGCAUAUCUGGAAUGUCCGGCCCCAUGUGUCACACAGGAAGUCACUGCCACCAAUGGACGACCCAAGAUUUUGAUUGAAGAACAACGUUUGAAAGAAAUGUUCCCUACUCAACUUCCUGUGCCUUGCAUAGCCACACUGAUGGGUGUUUCAAGAAGAACAAUAUUAAGAAGAAUGAAAGAGUAUGAGCUCUGUGUUAGGGACACAUAUAAUUCCAUCAGUGAUGAGGAACUUGACAAUUUGGUUUCUUCUGUCAAGAAUGAUCUACCAAAUGCAGGCUACAGAAAGGUCAGAGGGAGGCUGCAGUCAGUGGGCUACAGGGUUCGGUGGAGAAGAGUUGCAGCCUCCAUGCAUAGGGUUGAUUCCAUGGGCAUCAUAUCAAGGUUGUCAAGUCUUGGCUGUGUUGUACCCAGAAUGUACUCUGAACCAGGGCCCUUGUCUCUGGUACAUGUGGACACAAACCACAAGUUGAUGCGAUAUUGUACUUGAAUGUGGCCACAAACACCUGUGCAUCAACUGCAUUUCAGUUCUUCCUGGAUGCAACGCAGCGACAUGGCUUACCCUCAAGGAUUUGGCAGACGCCCUUAGCCAGAGCGACUUACAUACAAUAUAACUUCUUUGAGGGUAGUGUUGAUGUAUCUAAGAGGUUACAGAGCCCGUGAUUUCAGGGUAAGAGCUGACCAGGGAGUGGAGAAUGUGGACAUCGCCCGGUUUAUGUUCACUGUCCGUGGCAAUGAUCAGAACAGCUUCAUCUCAGGAAAAAGUGUGCACAACCAAAGGCUGGAACCACCAUUCACUACGUACUGAGGGAAACUGGAGUCCAGCACAGAUCUGGGAGAUUGCACAAAUGCUAAACACUAAUGUCCAUUCUGAGAACCUUGCAAACCUACAAGAGCCAGACAUCGACUGGGAGACUGUUAUUGACUAUGAUGGCCUUGACUCAGAAACUGGCGUUGUAGUGCCUGAAUAUGAGUGCCCUCUGACUGAGGAGAUGAAUGAAGUUCAAACUUUGGUUGAUCCUACUGACCGAAACAUUACUGAUGAACAUUUACAUUUACAGUAUUUGGCAGACACCCUUAGCCAGAGCGACUUACAUAAGUGCUUUGAGACUCUGCGAUGAAUUUCCGAUGCUAGCUCAAUAAGGUCCCAAGCUACGAAUACCAUCUCUCUGAAAACGACGUUGAGUAGUGCAGAAUUUUUUAUUUAUUUAUUUUUUUAAAAAAAACACACACCAGAAAAAGAGCCAAGUAAGAAUACAGAAGUUCUACGUCAGGUAUUUCUGAAAAAGGAAUGUUUUGAGUCGUCGCUUGAAGACAUUCAAGGAUUCAGCUGUUCGGACAUCUAGGGGGAGUUCAUUCCACCAAUUAGGUGCCAGGACAGACAAGAGCCGAUGUGUGUCGUCCUUGUGCCUUGAGGGGAGGUGGGACCAGUCGGGCAGUGCUGGAGGAUCGGAGAAAUCGUGGUGCAGUGCGGGGUGUGAUGAGGUCCUUUAGGUAGGAUGGUGCCAGAGAAUUUUUGGCUUUGUAUGCGAGCAUCAGUGUUUUGAAUAUGAUGCGGGCAGCUACAGGAAGCCAGUGGAGGGAGGGUUAGGGUUAGAGUGGUGUGGGAGAACUUGGGAAGGUUGAAAACAAGACGAGCAGCUGCAUUCUGAAUCAGUUGGAGGGGACGGAUGGCACUCAGUGGUAAACCCGCUAGAAGCGAGUUGCAGUAGUCAAGGCGUGAGAUGUCGAUGGACUGGACGAGUAUCUGGGUAGCCUGAGUGGAAAGAAAUGGACGUAUCCUCCUGAUGUUAAAGAGGAGAAACCGACAAGAGCGAGAAAGACUGGCGAUAUGUGAGGAAAAUGACAACCGAUCAUCUAAACUGAUCAUCUAAUCUGAACAGCUAUACACUGUUUGCUAUGAGCAUAUAAAACGACUGCAGGCACAAACUUAAAAACCUGCUCAGUUCACUCCCAUUGGACUCCUCACAAACACACACUGCUCCGUUCAGGUCAUCUCUAACUCAUUCACACGCUAAGGAAUUUUGUCUUAUCAGACGAAGUCUGUUAACUUCUGUCUUUGAACAUGUUGUCCUGUUUGAAUUAUUGUACACAUCCUUUGUUUUACAUUUUUAUUUCAUGGCACAAUUAUUCUGAUAGACUGAAAUCCUCAAAAUGCUUCAGAAUCCUUACAGAAAAAGUGUACAUGAAAAACAACAGAAAAAUUACUGAAAAUGCAUUGAAACUGUAUAUACUGCUUAACCAUAAUAAAGUGCUACUAAAAACUCCAAGGUUUUGUUUAUGACAUCGUACAUCCUGUACUUAAUAUUAUGCUCUAAUUUUGCAAUCAAUUUCAGCUUCAUUUGUAAAUCUUUGUACUUGUCAAGUGUAAUGUCUUUAGAAUAGACCUGACCAAUAAGACAAAAAGUGAGCCGGAACAUUCAGUUCCUAACAGCGGCCAAAUUCAUAGCCAUGGACAAUCGCCUUUGAGAUAAUAUUUUUGAAUUCUAUGUAUGUACUCAGGUGUGUUAUUGGGAAUGUGACUGAGCA